rnacentral:lncRNA from 1 species
UCUUUUAGCUGUUCUCCAGAAACACUUUCAAUCUUUGGAAAGAAGAAGAAGAAGAAGAAGAAGACUCGGUUUAGCUUUUGUAAGAGAAGCAAAAGUGAAAAAGCUGUGAGCUUUUAAACUAUAACCUGAUCUUGAGAGAUGGCGGUUGCUCCGGCGAGAGCUCGUUCGGACUAUGAUUACCUCAUCAAGCUCCUUCUCAUCGGCGACAGCGGUAAGCUUCUUCUCUACUCUCUUUAGUAGAUAAAGUAAGCAACUAGGAACGAUCACUGGAGGCAAGAGAAGAAGGAGUUGGUGAAAUCGAAUUCCGGGGAGCUACGGACGAAGACCAAGACAUGGCGAAUUGUCUAAUGUUGUUGUCGCAAGGACAUAAAUCAAACACUAGUGGAGAUCCUUUGUUGACGCAGAAAAUUGGUUUCUUGAGCAACAAGAAACCGGUGGCCUCUCUAGGGUUAGGGCUAAACGGUGUUUACCAGUGCAAAACGUGUGAUAAAAGCUUCCACUCGUUUCAAGCGCUAGGAGGGCACAUGACUAGCCAUAAGAAGCCUAAACUCGGAGCAAUCAUUCUCAAAUGCGGCGAGAAGAAAUCUGUGUCUGCGGUUAAAACAGUUGAAGCUGCGAGAGUUGUAGGAAGCUUUCUUUCUCUACAAGUAACUAGCAGUGACGGUAGCAAGAAACAGGAAAAAACACAUGAAUGUUCGAUCUGUAAGGCCGAGUUUUCUUCGGGACAAGCCUUAGGAGGACAUAUGAGGAGACAUAGAGGUUUAACAUUGAAUGCAAAUGCUAACUCAACAACCAGAACAGAGAUAUCAUCAAGUCAUCAUCAAGAAUCUAUACGGGAAAAGAACUUUAUAGAGCUAGAUCUGAAUCUUCCAGCGCCAGAAGAUGAACCCAAGUUCGUGUUUGCGUCCAAAGAUCAGAUUCUUCUCUUCGCGGCUGCAGCGUCCAAUUCUUUGAUUGAUUGUCAUCACUAAUUAAGUAGUUCUUGUAAUUACUUUCUUACCUUCAUAUGUACUCAUAAGUCAUAACCCUCCUCUUACUAUUAUCAUUAUCUAACUAAUACUGAUUCUUCUAAUUUGACAUUUAUUGAAUUAACUUCAAAUUAUUCAUUUUAACAGUACUAUUCAUUGCUCCAUAUACUAUUUUGCUUGAAUGUGGUGAUGUCAUCUAUAUAAAAGAAAUUCAUAAUUAGCACCAAGAGUAUAUCUGUAAUACUUAGCUUUGGGAGAAUGAUUAAAGAUGCCGAUGAGGUUGUUCCUUGAAGAGUGGAAGAAGCAUGUGACGAUGACUUUCAUAUAAAGUCACUUCGUUUGUUAGCCGCCGCCACUAACUCUGUAACUCCUUUCGGUGCACUUCACUUCCUUUUGCGGUUUAGAGUGUUUCAACGUAGAAGGAACUUCAUCUCCAACUGAAAAAAAAAACACUUCAAAUACUAAACUAAAAUCAAUCAGAAAUCUUCAAUAAAAUAACAGAACAUGGCGUAAUUUUAACUUGCCGCAUUGAGAUUAUACACUAUGUUCAACAUCAUUCAAAAGCAUCUGUCAAUACUACAACAUCUUCUAGAAAAAAGGAGCUGCACUACGCAUAGUAUCAUUUCUGGUAUAUUGGCAUCUCUAUACCGAUCAUGUCAUGUCUUUAUACAGUCCGUCCAUAUACAGAUAACAUAUAUAUUUUCUUUGUUAAAAUGACGCAUCUGUUUGUGUUUCUCUUUUGGAAUACAUGGACAUGAUACGUGGAGAAAGUACAAAUUAACAUAAACGAGUGAAUCUUCCUAACAUUUGGAAAGGAUUUAAAGAUGUUUAAAAAUGUUUUACGAAAUAUUUGAUAACAACACUAUGUUUAGUAAUUUUUCAGAAAACGUCGGUGGACUUUUAAUUAGUGUAGUGGCUGUACUUUUCACAUUGUUAAUUGAUACAAACCGUCUAUGUUUGUAAUAAGACAAAACAUCGAGGCCAUGUUGUGUAAUUGACGACGAUUUCAAAGAUCAAUCGUUACAUGUGAAUUUGGGAUAAACUUAAAAAUACAGUGUUCUCUAUUAUCUUGAAAAAUAUAGUCUUAUACGGCACAUAUAUAUACAUCAUUUACGCAAAAGAGGAGACACGUUCAAUGUUUGAAUUCGUAUGGAUUAUAGAUAGUGGAUAACUAAAAGGAGUUUAUAAAAAAAAAAGGAUAACUAAAAGGAUUGAGACACUGUUAAUAAGUUUAUAAUACAUGUGAUUAAGAAUAAUAUUUAUAAGAAUAAGUAUAUAUAUGGUGGAUAAAUGUUGUAUAUUUGACUUAGUCUGGAACCAUGCCACAUGUAAACAGAGGCUCUGGCAUGAUUAGAUACUUCGCUGGAUUACGCUAGCGUACGACGUACAUACAGCGAAGCAACCGCCUCCACCCACUAACUGCUUGACAGCUCACCACAAAACUCCACUAUUCUGCUUCUGUACAGUAGACCUGUCACACAUGAUUACACCAAACGUGCAUUACUUCUUCCGUUACUGCACCCUGAACUUCCGAAACAUUCUACAAUAACCCCAAAUAUUUAUAAUCUGAUCAACUUUUACCCACAUCAAUCAACUUAUUUGCUAUAACCAAGGGUGAUAAAUUGUAAAUAUAUAAAAUUCAGGGUCUAAAACUAUAAACAAAAUAAAAUAACAUCCACCAAAAUUUUUAUUUUAUUUUUUUCAGGAGCAAUCAACUUCUUUUAGCUGUUCUCCAGAAACACUUUCAAUCUUUGGAAAGAAGAAGAAGAAGAAGAAGAAGACUCGGUUUAGCUUUUGUAAGAGAAGCAAAAGUGAAAAAGCUGUGAGCUUUUAAACUAUAACCUGAUCUUGAGAGAUGGCGGUUGCUCCGGCGAGAGCUCGUUCGGACUAUGAUUACCUCAUCAAGCUCCUUCUCAUCGGCGACAGCGGUAAGCUUCUUCUCUACUCUCUUUAGUAGAUAAAGUAAGCAACUUUGAAAACUUACAUGUGCUCUCGAUUGCUUUCUCCGACAACAUCUAGUUCUUGUCUUUUUCCGAUUCUAAUUAGGUUUUUAUGAUUUUGAUCUGUUCCACCAACUAGUAGUAGAGUAAAGUAAGCAACUUUGAAUACUCUCACAAGUGCUCGGAUUGGUUUCUCCGACAAAACCUCGUGUCUGUUUUGUCGGUAUCUAACUAGG